AACCGCCCCUCCCUCGCCCAGGGACGCGAGGGGGACCGGCGGUCCGGGCGAGGCCUCGGCCGCGCAUCGCACCCCGGCUCCCCGCCGCCGGAGUUGAGGGGGAGGCGCGCUCUCCGUAAGAGCCGGAGGCGGGGCGCCAUCGCCCUCCCACUCCCCGGCGGGCGGGCCGGGGGAGCCCGGGGCUGCGAACACCCCCAGACGGGCGGCUGCGGGAGGGGAGGCUGGACCAAGGGGCCUGGUCCACCGGACCAGCGGUGGCGGCAUCGGCAUCUCGCCUCCUUCAGGCCUGCACGCGCCACAGGCCGCAGCCUGGACCAACCCCGCGUCCCCGGGCCGUGAGCGCUGCGGUCCCGGCCCCCCAGAGCGGGACGCCGGGCGGCCGCAGCCCCCCGGACCCGGCUCUCCGCCCGCUCCGCCCGCAGUCCCGGCGCGGAGAGCGGCCGCCCGAGCCGCUGCCGCGGCAGCGCGGGUGUCGGCGACGGAGCCCGGGGCGGGGAAGAGCGGAGGAAGGGGCGGCGAGGGGGCGGGCCGGCGGCGGCCAGGGAGGUCGGAGUGCGCGGGGCUCGGCACCCCCUCGGCCCGCGCUGCGCCAGCACCACCUGCGGAGCUGCGGUGCCCACGCCGUGCCGCGACCCCGCCGCCCCUGCUCCCUCCACACGCGGGCAAACAAAACAAGUUGCCGGUCGCUGCCGCCGGAGGGGGCCGGGCGGGUCACUCACCCUCAUCCUGCUCAGCGGGCUUGGGUCGUCCGGCCGCGGGGUCAGGGAAGACCAGAGGACCACUAGCCCCAGGAAGCUUCCCACCACCAGCAAACUGCGUGGUGAAUUUGUAACCGAAAGGCCCAGGUGAGAUGUGCAAAUAUCACUGGAUUGGAGGAGCUCACUUGGAAAGCCAGUAUUCCUCCUGAGCUAAUGAAAAGAAAGGCUGUCGUCUUAUGCCAAAAGCAAUACCAACCUUGUUCACGGGCUGAGAUCUAGAGUGUGUAAUUCACGAAGUAUGAAUCUGCUGGGUAAUGUGAUAUGAAAAGCGAAUGCACCAUUUCUUGGUGAUGAUUCAGGUCAGCGUUGGGACCCAGGAAUCUCCUGUUAAUCAGUACCCUGGUGAUUUUGAUCCAGAGACGGGGUCUAUUAUCUGGUCCUGUUGUCAAGGCUGGUCUCAAACUCCUGGCCUCCAGCGAUCCUCCCUUUUUGGCCUCCCAAGAUGCUGGUAUUACAGGCAUGAGCCACCAUGGUCCACCCGGACUCCUUUUCAUAGGAGACAGUUCCCUAGGCAGAGACUGGGCUUGAAACAGUUCCUCUAAAGAAGAGGGUAGAGACUAGAACUGAAUGAGAUGGACAUAGAGAUGGCCAAGAAAAGCAUCGUCCUCUGCCAAGUCAUGGGGUCAUGUGUGGUGGAUGGUGACAUGGUGUCCUCAGCUCAGAGUCCAGCUGGGGGCUCAGAAGCAAGAUAAAAAUGUGUAUGAAGGUGGAGCCUUGUCUAUCUAGUUCGUUAUUGUUAUCCGUGUCUGAUUGUUCAUGUUGGAAGGCAUACUUUCUGAACUCUUCUCAAGUGAUGAUAAAAUGGACUAGUUGAUAAAUCUUUCUGGUACAGGUUUUCAAAACUUCCAUCUAUCCACUGUGCUUUCAUGUUAAAGAAAGAAUGGAAACAUCAUCUCUAAAACAAGAUAAACAGCUCUGGGGCUGAGGAGGCCAGCCUGCUACUGGGUAGUUUUGAUAUCAGAAGUAUUUCAAAACCUCUCCCUUGUGGAGGAUGAGUUAUAUACCCACCCUGGGGCAUCAACAUGAAGCUGCUGCCCAGUGUGCCAUUGACGGAACGCUGCAGGUCGGACAGGCCGCUCCUGCUAAAGUGUAACUUAAGUUAUUCUCACAGAAGUACCAUCCCACAGAACCCACCCGGGGGACUGUGGUUCUACACUGACUCAGUGAUCAGAGUGGGGACAUUUUCUUAUCCUUCCAGAGACUGACAAGAGAGGGGACCUGAAGGUACCUUGAUCUCACAGCUGCAUCCUGAUACAUAUAUUUUUAAUACUGUGAUGGGAAUAAAUUACUCUGAGGCUCCCAAUAA
rnacentral:lncRNA from 1 species